UUUGAUGAUAGGCUAAAUUUUGUCUUGUUAAGGUUAAUUCUACCUUUUUAAUUAAUUAUCUAUAGAUGAUUUUAUAUGCAAAUUUUUGUGUGUUAAAAUUUUAUCUUAAUGAAAAAUUUAAUUUAUUUGCAGUUUUUUAUAUUAUAUAUUUUAGAAAUAAAGAUAUAGUCAAUUAUAUUAGGAUUGUUUAAAGUUGUGCCAGCAGACGCGGUUAUACAAUUGAUUCGAGUUAAUUUUUUUGGUUUAAUUAUUAUUUUAUUAUGAUUUGAGGAUUAAUUAUAAUUUAUUAGGUGAAAUUUUAAUUUAUAUUAUAUUCCUUUGGUUUAAAUAUUAUAAGAAACUUAAUUUAAAAACUAGGAUUAGAUACCCUAUUAUUUUAAGUGUAAAUUUUGACCAUAAUAUUAAUAGAUAAGAUCUUUAAAUUAAAAGAAUAUGGCGGUAAUUUAGUC
rnacentral:rRNA from 1 species